GCAAGAAACCUCGCGGGCAACCAUGACGUCUGGCUCUUGCUGCUGUGGGUUGUGGAAUAGGAAGAGAAACGCUAAUCGCCAUCCCGCUGCAGAGAACAUAGAAGAAACUGCUAUUUCAAUUGAAGCAGCUGCCAGCACAGAAAAAGGNUGUUCGGACGUUUUCUUUUGAUGAGCUAGCAAUUGCAACUCAUUAUUUCUCCAACAGCA
rnacentral:misc_RNA from 1 species